rnacentral:lncRNA from 1 species
AUUUAUAAUUGAUCUCGGGGAAGAAGAUAAAUGGGGAAGAAUUAUUAGAAAAUAACGUGGAAGACAACUGGGCCAGGAUACCGAGGAAAUAUUCUCGUUGACGGACGCGUCCAAGUUCAGGACACGCGCAGUCGCUUACACGUAUACUCGUAUGGGGUAACGUAUAAAGAUGUAUACACAGACACGUACGCGCACUGAUACAUCGACAGCCAGUUCCUACAUCGUGGGUAAUAAAACAUUUCGCGUGCGAGGGUAUAAUUGUCGGGGUCGGGCCCGCGUGUGCGGUUUAUACGGUGCUGGAUGCCAGUCGAAGGGGUGGCGAGGGAUUUUCCAGAUCGGUGCGUACUUACGGAAACGUCGUCGUGGGGCGGUCAAUAAAGCUGUGAUACUGCCAUCUUACCGGACGAUCUCUCUUACCCCAAGACGUUACGACUACAA